rnacentral:rRNA from 1 species
AACGAACGCUGGCGGCAGGCUUAACACAUGCAAGUCGAACGCAUCGCAAGAUGAGUGGCAGACGGGUGAGUAACGCGUGGGAACAUACCCUUUUCUACGGAAUAGCACUGGGAAACUGGAAUUAAUACCGUAUACGCCCUUUACUGGUGGACAGUAUAGGGGAAAGAUUUAUCGGGGAAGGAUUGGCCCGUGUUGGAUUAGCGAGUUGGUGGGGUAACGGCCUACCAAGGCGACGAUCCAUAGCUGGUCUGAGAGGAUGAUCAGCCACAUUGGGACUGAGACACGGACCAGACUCCUACGGGACGCAGCAGUGGGGAAUAUUGGGCGAGGGCGCAAGCCUGAUCCAGCCAUGCCGCGGGAGUGAUGAAGGCCUUAGGGUUGUAAAGCUCUUUCACCGAUGAAGAUAAUGACGGUAGUCGGAGAAGAAGCCCCGGCUAACUUCGUGCCAGCCGCCGCCGUAA